rnacentral:rRNA from 1 species
UACAGGGGGUGCAAACGUUGCUCGGAAUUAUUGGGCGUAAAGCGCGCGUAGGCGGCUACCUAAGUCGGAUGUGAAAGCCCCUGGCUCAACCGGGGAACUGCGUCUGAUACUGGCGGGCUUGAAUUCGGGAGAGGGAUGUGGAAUUCCAGGUGUAGCGGUGAAAUGCGUAGAUAUCUGGAGGAACACCGGUGGCGAAGGCGGCAUCCUGGACCGACAUUGACGCUGAGGCGCGAAAGCCAGGGGAGCAAACGGG